rnacentral:rRNA from 1 species
GAUGAACGCUGGCGGCGUGCCUAAUACAUGCAAGUCGAGCGAACGGACGAGAAGCUUGCUUCUCUGAUGUUAGCGGCGGACGGGUGAGUAACACGUGGAUAACCUACCUAUAAGACUGGGAUAACUUCGGGAAACCGGAGCUAAUACCGGAUAAUAUUUUGAACCGCAUGGUUCAAAAGUGAAAGACGGUCUUGCUGUCACUUAUAGAUGGAUCCGCGCUGCAUUAGCUAGUUGGUAAGGUAACGGCUUACCAAGGCAACGAUGCAUAGCCGACCUGAGAGGGUGAUCGGCCACACUGGAACUGGGACACGGUCCAGACUCCUACGGGAGGCAGCAGUAGGGAAUCUUCCGCAAUGGGCGAAAGCCUGACGGAGCAACGCCGCGUGAGUGAUGAAGGUCUUCGGAUCGUAAAACUCUGUUAUUAGGGAAGAACAUAUGUGUAAGUAACUGUGCACAUCUUGACGGUACCUAAUCAGAAAGCCACGGCUAACUACGUGCCAGCAGCCGCGGUAAUACGUAGGUGGCAAGCGUUAUCCGGAAUUAUUGGGCGUAAAGCGCGCGUAGGCGGUUUUUUAAGUCUGAUGUGAAAGCCCACGGCUCAACCGUGGAGGGUCAUUGGAAACUGGAAAACUUGAGUGCAGAAGAGGAAAGUGGAAUUCCAUGUGUAGCGGUGAAAUGCGCAGAGAUAUGGAGGAACACCAGUGGCGAAGGCGACUUUCUGGUCUGUAACUGACGCUGAUGUGCGAAAGCGUGGGGAUCAAACAGGAUUAGAUACCCUGGUAGUCCACGCCGUAAACGAUGAGUGCUAAGUGUUAGGGGGUUUCCGCCCCUUAGUGCUGCAGCUAACGCAUUAAGCACUCCGCCUGGGGAGUACGACCGCAAGGUUGAAACUCAAAGGAAUUGACGGGGACCCGCACAAGCGGUGGAGCAUGUGGUUUAAUUCGAAGCAACGCGAAGAACCUUACCAAAUCUUGACAUCCUUUGACAACUCUAGAGAUAGAGCUUUCCCCUUCGGGGGACAAAGUGACAGGUGGUGCAUGGUUGUCGUCAGCUCGUGUCGUGAGAUGUUGGGUUAAGUCCCGCAACGAGCGCAACCCUUAAGCUUAGUUGCCAUCAUUAAGUUGGGCACUCUAAGUUGACUGCCGGUGACAAACCGGAGGAAGGUGGGGAUGACGUCAAAUCAUCAUGCCCCUUAUGAUUUGGGCUACACACGUGCUACAAUGGACAAUACAAAGGGCAGCGAAACCGCGAGGUCGAGCAAAUCCCAUAAAGUUGUUCUCAGUUCGGAUUGUAGUCUGCAACUCGACUACAUGAAGCUGGAAUCGCUAGUAAUCGUAGAUCAGCAUGCUACGGUGAAUACGUUCCCGGGUCU